rnacentral:misc_RNA from 1 species
GAAAUGCGAUAAGUAAUGUGAAUUGCAGAAUUCAGUGAAUCAUCGAAACUUUGAACGCACAUUGCGCCCGCCAGUAUUCUGGCGGGCAUGCCUGUUCGAGCGUCAUUUCAACCAUCAAGCCCCCGGGCUUGUGUUGGGGACCUGCGGCUGCCGCAGGCCCCGAAAACCAGUGGCGGGCUCGCUGUCACACCGGGCGUAGUAGAUUUUUCGUCUCGCCCAGGGCGUGCUGCGGGUUCCGGCCGUUAAAAAGCCUCUCUUUUUAACCCAAGGUUGACCUCGGAUCAGGUAGGAAGACCCGCUGAACUUAAGC